rnacentral:rRNA from 1 species
UACAGAGGGGGCAAGCGUUGUUCGGAAUUACUGGGCGUAAAGGGCGCGUAGGCGGCCUGUUAAGUCGAACGUGAAAUCCCCGGGCUCAACCCGGGAACUGCGUCCGAUACUGGCAGGCUUGAAUUCGGGAGAGGGAUGUGGAAUUCCAGGUGUAGCGGUGAAAUGCGUAGAUAUCUGGAGGAACACCGGUGGCAGGCGGCAUCCUGGACCGAUAUUGACGCUGAUGCGCGAAAGCCAGGGGAGCAAACGGG